rnacentral:ncRNA from 19 species
AAAAAUAAUUUAACCCUGCUUCGUAUAUUCCCGGAAAUGCGGUCCGGGAGUUUCUACCAGGCAACCGUAAAUUGCCCGGCUACGAAGGUUAUUCUUCGUCGU